UUUUUUUUUGGUUUUAAUGUUAAGGGUUUGUUUUACU
rnacentral:sRNA from 1 species